rnacentral:rRNA from 1 species
ACUCCUGCGGGAGGCAGCAGUGGGGAAUAUUGGACAAUGGGCGCAAGCCUGAUCCAGCCAUGCCGCGUGAGUGAUGAAGGCCCUAGGGUUGUAAAGCUCUUUCACCGGUGAAGAUAAUGACGGUAACCGGAGAAGAAGCCCCGGCUAACUUCGUGCCAGCAGCCGCGGUAAUACGAAGGGGGCUAGCGUUGUUCGGAUUUACUGGGCGUAAAGCGCACGUAGGCGGACUAUUAAGUCAGGGGUGAAAUCCCGGGGCUCAACCCCGGAACUGCCUUUGAUACUGGUAGUCUUGAGUUCGAGAGAGGUGAGUGGAAUUCCGAGUGUAGAGGUGAAAUUCGUAGAUAUUCGGAGGAACACCAGUGGCGAAGGCGGCUCACUGGCUCGAUACUGACGCUGAGGUGCGAAAGCGUGGGGAGCAAACAGGAUUAGAUACCCGUGUAGUCCCAUGA